CAGUAGCCGCGGUAAUACGUAGGGUGCAAGCGUUAAUCGGAAUUACUGGGCGUAAAGCGUGCGCAGGCGGUUAUAUAAGACAGAUGUGAAAUCCCCGGGCUCAACCUGGGAACUGCAUUUGUGACUGUAUAGCUAGAGUACGGCAGAGGGGAAUGGAAUUCCGCGUGUAGCAGUGAAAUGCGUAGAUAUGCGGAGGAACACCGAUGGCGAAGGCAAUCCCCUGGGCCUGUACUGACGCUCAUGCACGAAAGCGUGGGGAGCAAACAGGAUUAGAUACCCGUGUAGUCCCUGUAUCUUAUAC
rnacentral:rRNA from 1 species